UCUGUGAUUACUACAAUCCCCCUGGUGAAUGUGAAUGGCACUACAUGCCAUGUGGAUCUCCAUGUAUGAAAUCCUGCAGGAACCCCUCCGGCAGCUGCUCGCCACAGAUGCCUCCUCUAGAAGGUUGCUAUCCAAAAUGUCAUCCUGCUCAGCCAUACUUUGAUGAGGAUACAAUGACAUGUGUGUUAAAAGAACAAUGUGGCUGCUACGAUAAAUAGGGGAAACACUACAAUGAUAGUGACAAAGUGCCAACAACUGAAAACUGUCAAACAUGUACAUGCAGUUCAAUGACUAUCCAAUGUCAGUAUGAUGCCCAAGCCUGUACUUGCACAUAUAAUGGAAACAAAUAUCCCCCUGGAAAUGUAAUUUAUAACACAACAGAUGGACAUGGUAACUGCCAUCACAGCAGUGUGUGGAAAUAAUGGUACCACUGACCACAGUUCAUAUAGAUGCCCAGUAUCCACACCGACAACACAUGUGCCCAUUACAACCACUACUAUAGCCAGCCAGUCUACAACCACCUUUGUUUUUUCAUCAACCACACAAGAGCCACACACAGUCCCAGUCCCAUGUAAUCCUUGUAAUUGGUCGCCAUGGUAUGAUACCAGCUUCCCGACACUGGGAACUCCAG